rnacentral:rRNA from 1 species
AAAUUGAAGAGUUUGAUCAUGGCUCAGAUUGAACGCUGGCGGCAGGCCUAACACAUGCAAGUCGAGCGGUAGCACAGAGAGCUUGCUCUCGGGUGACGAGCGGCGGACGGGUGAGUAAUGUCUGGGAAACUGCCUGAUGGAGGGGGAUAACUACUGGAAACGGUAGCUAAUACCGCAUAAUGUCGCAAGACCAAAGUGGGGGACCUUCGGGCCUCAUGCCAUCAGAUGUGCCCAGAUGGGAUUAGCUAGUAGGUGGGGUAACGGCUCACCUAGGCGACGAUCCCUAGCUGGUCUGAGAGGAUGACCAGCCACACUGGAACUGAGACACGGUCCAGACUCCUACGGGAGGCAGCAGUGGGGAAUAUUGCACAAUGGGCGCAAGCCUGAUGCAGCCAUGCCGCGUGUGUGAAGAAGGCCUUCGGGUUGUAAAGCACUUUCAGCGGGGAGGAAGGCGGUGAGGUUAAUAACCUCAUCGAUUGACGUUACCCGCAGAAGAAGCACCGGCUAACUCCGUGCCAGCAGCCGCGGUAAUACGGAGGGUGCAAGCGUUAAUCGGAAUUACUGGGCGUAAAGCGCACGCAGGCGGUCUGUCAAGUCGGAUGUGAAAUCCCCGGGCUCAACCUGGGAACUGCAUUCGAAACUGGCAGGCUAGAGUCUUGUAGAGGGGGGUAGAAUUCCAGGUGUAGCGGUGAAAUGCGUAGAGAUCUGGAGGAAUACCGGUGGCGAAGGCGGCCCCCUGGACAAAGACUGACGCUCAGGUGCGAAAGCGUGGGGAGCAAACAGGAUUAGAUACCCUGGUAGUCCACGCCGUAAACGAUGUCGAUUUGGAGGUUGUGCCCUUGAGGCGUGGCUUCCGGAGCUAACGCGUUAAAUCGACCGCCUGGGGAGUACGGCCGCAAGGUUAAAACUCAAAUGAAUUGACGGGGGCCCGCACAAGCGGUGGAGCAUGUGGUUUAAUUCGAUGCAACGCGAAGAACCUUACCUGGUCUUGACAUCCACAGAACUUUCCAGAGAUGGAUUGGUGCCUUCGGGAACUGUGAGACAGGUGCUGCAUGGCUGUCGUCAGCUCGUGUUGUGAAAUGUUGGGUUAAGUCCCGCAACGAGCGCAACCCUUAUCCUUUGUUGCCAGCGGUUAGGCCGGGAACUCAAAGGAGACUGCCAGUGAUAAACUGGAGGAAGGUGGGGAUGACGUCAAGUCAUCAUGGCCCUUACGACCAGGGCUACACACGUGCUACAAUGGCAUAUACAAAGAGAAGCGACCUCGCGAGAGCAAGCGGACCUCAUAAAGUAUGUCGUAGUCCGGAUUGGAGUCUGCAACUCGACUCCAUGAAGUCGGAAUCGCUAGUAAUCGUAGAUCAGAAUGCUACGGUGAAUACGUUCCCGGGCCUUGUACACACCGCCCGUCACACCAUGGGAGUGGGUUGCAAAAGAAGUAGGUAGCUUAACCUUAGGGAGGGCGCUUACCACUUUGUGAUUCAUGACUGGGGUGAAGUCGUAACAAGGUAACCGUAGGGGAACCUGCGGUUGGAUCACCUCCUUA